rnacentral:lncRNA from 1 species
CCUCCGAGAAGAUUACCUACUAUUUGUACCAGAAAAAGUCGAAAAAAUCAAAUUCCGAAAAUAUACAUGUGUGGGGUUCAAACCUCGCGAAAAGACUAUCUACUACUAGUACCAAAAAAAGCAAGAAAAUCAAAUUUCGAAAAUAUAUACGUGCGGAGUUCGAUCCCUCUUAGAAGUUACCGAGUACCGGACAAAGUCAGAAAAUCAAAUUCCGAAAAUAUACAUGUGUGGAAUUCCAACUCCCUUCAAAAUGCCUUCUCAAGAUAAGAAACCACUAU